rnacentral:lncRNA from 1 species
ACUGUGAGCUGUGUUGAGCACUAAAAAGGUAAGGGGAGCUAACUAUAUAGAUAAAUAUAUUGCUUAUUGAUUGGUAUUUUGAUUGAUGGGAAUAUAUGUUGAAUUGGUUUGUGUAAUGGUUGAUCUAAAAAUAUGCUGCUUUUGUAAAUGUAAGAUGAUAUGCCCUGGAAUAUUAAGCAUGAACCUGUGGAUUUGGUAUUGUAUGUGUUGGCUUGUUUUGAAUGGAUGGGAUGUUGGAAAUCGACAUGCUAAACAUGUUGUGGUUACUGGAAAUUUGAUUGUACUGAGGAUUUGAUGAAGGGUAUCGGCUGUGUAGAAUUUUAGGAUCUGUGAGGGGAAGUGAAGUACUGGCUAGGGGAAAUUGAGGUUUAAGAACACUGUAGUGCCAC